UACGUAGGGUGCAAGCGUUAAUCGGAAUUACUGGGCGUAAAGCGUGCGCAGGCGGCUUUGCAAGACAGAUGUGAAAUCCCCGGGCUCAACCUGGGAACUGCAUUUGUGACUGCAUCGCUGGAGUGCGGCAGAGGGGGAUGGAAUUCCGCGUGUAGCAGUGAAAUGCGUAGAUAUGCGGAGGAACACCGAUGGCGAAGGCAAUCCCUGGACCUGUACUGACGCUCAUGCACGAAAGCGUGGGGAGCAAACGGGAU
rnacentral:rRNA from 1 species